UACCUUCUAAGUAUGGUCCGUGAUUAACAAGUGGCUUACGUUCAGAAAAAUUUUUAGAUAAAUAAUAGUACAGUUGUUUUGCAGAUAUGACAAAAAUCCUGGCCAUCAACGGUCUGAAAUUUGGUAAAUUCUAUGCUAAGAGUCAUGGGCAGCCACUGAUUAAAUGCGACAAUAACUACUCAGCACUUAGCACUUGCCUCCCCCAGACAACCUCAUCGACUCUUCCAGGCCUGGGUUGGGCAUUCCUGGAACGGACAUUUGAACACAGAUGCGAACUAGAACAUUAAUUUACCCUUCCAGACGGUGAGUAGUGUUUGAAGGAAGGCUGAGAAGAGGGGUAAAGGGGCUGGGAGGCAGAGUGGGGAGCAGGCUGCCGGAAGCAAUGGGCUGGUCAGAUUGGGGAGAAGGCGGCGAGAGGCAGUGGGGGCAGGGCUAGAGGGAAAGGUGAAAUUGUGAAGGACACCCAGUGUGGGGGGACAGGGAG